rnacentral:tRNA from 1 species
GGGCGGUUAGCUCAGCUGGUUAGAGCGCCACGUUCACAUCGUGGAUGUCGGAGGUUCGAGUCCUCUAUCGCCCA